rnacentral:rRNA from 1 species
AGCUCCAAUAGCGUAUAUUAAUGUUGUUGCAGUUAAAAAGCUCGUAGUUGGAUAUCUGGCAUUGCGUUGACGGCCCGCCCUGAACGGGGUUGAGUGCUGGAUUCGCUUGCCUAUUUUCCGGUUGGCGUCGGUUCCCUUUACUGGGCGCCGUUCGCGAUCCGGAUCGUUUACUUUGAAGAAAUUCGAGUGUUCAAAGCAGGCUUACGCCGUGAAGAUUGCAGCAUGGAAUGAUGACAUAGAACUGUUGUGUUCUAUUUUGUUGGUUCUGGGACCACAGUGAUGAUUGAUAGGGACAGUUGGGGGUGCUGCUAUUCCGCGGCCAGAGGUGAAAUUCUCAGAUUCCCGGAAGAGCAACUUAUGCGAAAGCAUUCACCAAAGAUGUCUUCUUUAAUCAAGAACG